rnacentral:rRNA from 1 species
ACGGGAGGCAGCAGUGGGGAAUAUUGGGCAAUGGGCGAAAGCCUGACCCAGCAACGCCGCGUGAAGGAAGAAGGUCCUCGGAUUGUAAACUUCUUUUAUCAGGGACGAAGAAAGUGACGGUACCUGAUGAAUAAGCCACGGCUAACUACGUGCCAGCAGCCGCGGUAAUACGUAGGUGGCGAGCGUUAUCCGGAUUUACUGGGUGUAAAGGGCGCGUAGGCGGGGAUGCAAGUCAGAUGUGAAAUCCAUGGGCUUAACUCAUGAACUGCAUUUGAAACUGUAUCUCUUGAGUGUCGGAGAGGUAGAUGGAAUUCCUAGUGUAGCGGUGAAAUGCGUAGAUAUUAGGAGGAACACCAGUGGCGAAGGCGAUCUACUGGACGAUAACUGACGCUGAGGCGCGAAAGCGUGGGGAGC